UACGUAGGGUGCGAGCGUUAAUCGGAAUUACUGGGCGUAAAGCGUGCGCAGGCGGUUGUGCAAGACAGAUGUGAAAUCCCCGGGCUUAACCUGGGAAUGGCAUUUGUGACUGCACGGCUAGAGUGUGUCAGAGGGAGGUAGAAUUCCACGUGUAGCAGUGAAAUGCGUAGAUAUGUGGAGGAAUACCGAUGGCGAAGGCAGCCUCCUGGGAUAACACUGACGCUCAUGCACGAAAGCGUGGGGAGCAAACAGG
rnacentral:rRNA from 1 species